rfam:Glycine soja cultivar W05 scaffold1441_7, whole genome shotgun sequence.
AAAGUGGAGUGCAGCCAAGGGUGAUUUUCCGGCACUAUUUAGUUCAAUAUUGAAUAGUUAGUUCUGUUGAUUUACUUUUGUGCCGGGCAAGUUUCUCUUGGCUACAUUUCACUUUUC